rnacentral:rRNA from 1 species
GACGGAGGAUGCAAGUGUUAUCCGGAAUCACUGGGCGUAAAGCGUCUGUAGGUGGUCAAAUAAGUCAACUGUUAAAUCUUGAGGCUCAACCUCAAAACCGCAGUCGAAACUAUUAGACUAGAGUAUAGUAGGGGUAAAGGGAAUUUCCAGUGGAGCGGUGAAAUGCGUAGAGAUUGGAAAGAACAACGAUGGCGAAGGCACUUUACUGGGCUAUUACUAACACUCAGAGACGAAAGCUAGGGUAGCAAAUGGG